AGAGUUUGAUCCUGGCUCAGGAUGAACGCUGGCGGCGUGCCUAAUACAUGCAAGUCGAGCGAACGGACGAGAAGCUUGCUUCUCUGAUGUUAGCGGCGGACGGGUGAGUAACACGUGGAUAACCUACCUAUAAGACUGGGAUAACUUCGGGAAACCGGAGCUAAUACCGGAUAAUAUUUUGAACCGCAUGGUUCAAAAGUGAAAGACGGUCUUGCUGUCACUUAUAGAUGGAUCCGCGCUGCAUUAGCUAGUUGGUAAGGUAACGGCUUACCAAGGCAACGAUGCAUAGCCGACCUGAGAGGGUGAUCGGCCACACUGGAACUGAGACACGGUCCAGACUCCUACGGGAGGCAGCAGUAGGGAAUCUUCCGCAAUGGGCGAAAGCCUGACGGAGCAACGCCGCGUGAGUGAUGAAGGUCUUCGGAUCGUAAAACUCUGUUAUUAGGGAAGAACAUAUGUGUAAGUAACUGUGCACAUCUUGACGGUACCUAAUCAGAAAGCCACGGCUAACUACGUGCCAGCAGCCGCGGUAAUACGUAGGUGGCAAGCGUUAUCCGGAAUUAUUGGGCGUAAAGCGCGCGUAGGCGGUUUUUUAAGUCUGAUGUGAAAGCCCACGGCUCAACCGUGGAGGGUCAUUGGAAACUGGAAAACUUGAGUGCAGAAGAGGAAAGUGGAAUUCCAUGUGUAGCGGUGAAAUGCGCAGAGAUAUGGAGGAACACCAGUGGCGAAGGCGACUUUCUGGUCUGUAACUGACGCUGAUGUGCGAAAGCGUGGGGAUCAAACAGGAUUAGAUACCCUGGUAGUCCACGCCGUAAACGAUGAGUGCUAAGUGUUAGGGGGUUUCCGCCCCUUAGUGCUGCAGCUAACGCAUUAAGCACUCCGCCUGGGGAGUACGACCGCAAGGUUGAAACUCAAAGGAAUUGACGGGGACCCGCACAAGCGGUGGAGCAUGUGGUUUAAUUCGAAGCAACGCGAAGAACCUUACCAAAUCUUGACAUCCUUUGACAACUCUAGAGAUAGAGCCUUCCCCUUCGGGGGGCAAAGUGACAGGUGGUGCAUGGUUGUCGUCAGCUCGUGUCGUGAGAUGUUGGGUUAAGUCCCGCAACGAGCGCAACCCUUAAGCUUAGUUGCCAUCAUUAAGUUGGGCACUCUAAGUUGACUGCCGGUGACAAACCGGAGGAAGGUGGGGAUGACGUCAAAUCAUCAUGCCCCUUAUG
rnacentral:rRNA from 1 species